rnacentral:lncRNA from 1 species
GUGUAUUCUUAUAUGUGCCUAUAUCUAUCUGUCUAUCUAUCUAUUUGUGUGUAAUUAAAUGGGUUAGGAUUACUCUUUCUAAAAGGAUGUUGCUUAACCUUGGAAGUGACAAAGUGGCACAUGGUAAUGUAACCCCUCGACUCUUUUCUUAUGCUGACCCCAAAUCAUGAAUGCAAUGUGCCUAUGUUUUAGUGUUACAUACAUACACACACACAUGCAUGCACCUGCCCGCCCGCACGCACGCACUGGAUGUGGCAGUUCUGCCAAAGGCAAAAACAAUUUGUUUUUAAUAAAGUACGCUGUCACAAUUUGGUUUUUUAAAUUAAAUGUGAAUGAACUAAAAACAAGUAGGACACUAAUGUCAUGAAGAGAUGAAACAGUAAAGGCAAGAGAAACCAAAGAUUGAUCUGAGCAUGUUAAUUUUUUUUUUAAACAAGUAAUCAGCUUUAAUUAGUAUUGAUAUUUUCGAAAUUCAUGAAUAAAGAACUUAAAAUUUUACUAUGUAACUAGAAAUAGCAACUAAUACUCUUCAUGGAUCAGUAUACAUCUUGACAAUGUUAAUAUACAAUUGAAAAUUUUGAAACCUAAUAUAUAGUGCG